GUGAGGUGAUGACACCGUUUAUCCAUUCUCUGAGUGCAGUGGCAGCGCUGCCCUCCUGCAGCAGCCCAGCUCCUGUUCUAGGCUCUGGGUGCUGUGCAGCCUCCAGACAUCCUGCAGUGUCCUGCUGGGGGCUGCUGUGAUGUGUGGCUGGCUGCCUGCUGGAGGGGGAACAGUGCUGGCAGGGUUGGAGCUCCUCUUUGGGGGCUCCAGCCUCACUGGGACGAGGGAUGGCGUCUGAUCAC